rnacentral:rRNA from 1 species
AUUGAACGCUGGCGGCAUGCUUUACACAUGCAAGUCGAACGGUAACAGGCCGCAAGGUGCUGACGAGUGGCGAACGGGUGAGUAAUGCAUCGGAACGUGCCCAGUCGUGGGGGAUAACUACUCGAAAGAGUAGCUAAUACCGCAUACGAUCUAUGGAUGAAAGCGGGGGACCGUAAGGCCUCGCGCGAUUGGAGCGGCCGAUGUCAGAUUAGGUAGUUGGUGGGGUAAAGGCUCACCAAGCCAACGAUCUGUAGCUGGUCUGAGAGGACGACCAGCCACACUGGGACUGAGACACGGCCCAGACUCCUACGGGAGGCAGCAGUGGGGAAUUUUGGGCAAUGGGCGCAAGCCUGAUCCAGCAAUGCCGCGUGCAGGAAGAAGGCCUUCGGGUUGUAAACUGCUUUUGUACGGAACGAAACGGCUCUGGUUAAUACCCGGGGCUAAUGACGGCACCGUAAGAAUAAGCACCGGCUAACUACGUG